CCCUUCGUGGCAUAAACAGUUAAUACAUUUGGCUGCUAACCAAAAGGUCGAAGGUUCGAGCCCACCCAGAGGUA
rnacentral:tRNA from 1 species